rnacentral:lncRNA from 1 species
UCGGCUUGCAAAAAGACCACUCUUGCCUCCAAUAACAAUAACCUCACUCUUGUACACAACACUGACAUGAGAAAAAACUUCCUGGGGCAUGAGAAAAAACUUCCUUCAUCAUCAACCAAACUUAGCCUUUCAAAAUCACCACCUUAAUUCCCAUAAUCUCCCCCCCUCCCCAAACAUUCGGGCUUUGUAGACAAAAGCUGAUGCCAAAUAUCGGCCUGAUCUCAUUGGCUUGAGACCGGUCCAUUGCAUCUUGAACCAGUUAAAUUUUUCAACAGACCAGGGCUUGAAAUAACAACUGAUUACCAAUCAAUAAUCAGCAAGAAAUUGCUUAUGAUCAGCGGAAAAGCAGGGUUUUCAACCUGAAAAAGCAGGGAAGUCAUGACUGCCGAUCACCAUGAUCAAUCACCAUGAUCAAUCACCAUGAUCGGGAAUUUUGGGAAUGUUAUUUCAGGCCCUGACAGACAAACACCAUGUUGAUAGUAUGUGUCUACUGUAUAUACAGUCUGUAAGCAUUGUGUAAGAAUAAUAGAAUACUGUGUUAAAAACCUUGCCAAUUAUUUCAGAUAACUAGAUAAGUAAAGUAAUAGUCAUUUGUAAUGAAUCUUUU